rnacentral:lncRNA from 1 species
GCGGCGAAAUCAUUCAUUGAUCCUUCCUUUCCCGAUGAUAAAUCUGCAGUUCCGAUAUAGUAUCGGCGAUAUUCCAAUGGAUGAGUUGCAGUGCUUGCAUGCGAGUAGAAGUCGAUUCGUAUGGACUUCUCGAGAUGUAUAUAUAUACGAGGUGGGUUCCCAAUUAGUUUUCAGGUUCGUAAAGUUCAUCACUAAUUUCAUAUUUCAAUCAUCAAUCUUACUCACCUCACCUGCUCUGCUUUACUUGUUUGAUUGUUUCUCUGUACGUCUGACUGAGAUAUUGGUGUCGAGAAAUCAAGCUGACAACAACAAUCAGAUACAUGCAGGCUGCAGAUUCGAUUGACAAGGUGAAGUUUUUCUUAUAUCGGAUUUCGAUUUUUCAAUUUUUGGUGACUGAUUCAAGUUCAUCCUAACUUAUUCAAUGUUUUGAUUUCCAGGAAUCAUCAUUCAUGUCAUCCCAAGGAGUUCAUGGAGAUGAUCAACAUAAUAGCAGUACUGCCUCUACAGCUGCAGUUGGAAAUGGAGCGGUUGUACAUGCAGCCGAUGUUCAUCAGCAGAAUGCAGAUGCUGCUGCUGGGAAUCGUGCUGUUGAGGAGGUAAUCGAUGUUGGUGGGCUUAAAAGUCCUGUUUGGUCANNNN